rnacentral:rRNA from 1 species
GCGGCUACUGCUAUCAGGUUUCGACUAAGCCAUGCGAGUCAAGGGGUCGUAAGACACCGGCGUACUGCUCAGUAACACGCGGACAAUCUACCCCCAGGUGGAGGAUAACCUCGGGAAACUGAGGCUAAUACCCCAUAGUUGUCAUGUGCUGGAAUGCUUUGACGAUGAAAGAAUUUCGCCUGAGGAUGAGUCUGCGGCCUAUCAGGUAGUAUGUGGUGUAAAGGACCACAUAGCCUAAGACGGGUACGGGCCUUGAAAGAGGGAGCCCGGAGAUGGACUCUGAGACACUAGUCCAGGCCCUACGGGACGCAGCAGGCGCGAAAACUGUGCAAUGCGCGCAAGCGCGACACGGGAAGCCUGAGUGCCUUAACUAUGUUAAGGCUUUUCUUGAUCCUAAAAAGCUCAAGGAAUAAGAGCUGGGUAAGACGGGUGCCAGCCGCCGCGGUAACACCCGCGGCUCGAGUGGUAGUCACUUUUAUUGAGCCUAAAGCGUUUGUAGCCGGAUUUGUAAAUCUCUAGGAAAAUACUUCUGCUUAACUGAAGAAAUUUUGGAGAGACUGCAAAUCUAGGGACCGGGUGAGGUUGAAUGUACUUCUGGGGUAGGGGUAAAAUCCUGUAAUCCUGGAAGGACGACCGGUGGCGAAGGCGUUCAACUAGAACGGAUCCGACGGUGAGGAACGAAGGCUAGGGGAGCAAACCGGAUUAGAUACCCGGGUGGUCCUAGCUGUAAACACUGCCCACUUGGUGUUGCAUCUCCGGUAAGGGGGUGCAGUGCCGUAGCGAAGGUGUUAAGUGGGCCGCUUGGGGAGUAUGGUCGCAAGGCUGAAACUUAA